GUUAUGCUUACCAAUCAUUGUUAUGUAUGUAGCAAUGCACUGGGCAUUCGAAAGAUACCCUUGGGUGUCUCCGUUGCCUGAAAUAGAGACUAUGAGAGAGCGAGACGUCAGAAAUCUUUCUCACUCGAAUCUUAGCUUGUCCAAUGGGCGACGUUUCGAACAUCUUAAACCGGCCUCCGUGCCGGGGAGAGGGUUUUGGAACGAGUGCUCGAGCUCCGAGCAAUACUCUUCCUACCUUCGCGAGACAAGUACACUCGUCUGAUGUCCGAUAGCAAGCUGAAAUUUUUUCCUCCU
rnacentral:misc_RNA from 1 species